rnacentral:rRNA from 1 species
CGGAGGGUCCAAGCGUUAUCCGGAAUCAUCGGGUUUAAAGGGUCCGUAGGCGGUUUAAUAAGUCAGUGGUGAAAGCCCAUCGCUCAACGAUGGAACGGCCAUUGAUACUGUUAAACUUGAAUUAUUAGGAAGUAACUAGAAUAUGUAGUGUAGCGGUGAAAUGCUUAGAGAUUACAUGGAAUACCAAUUGCGAAGGCAGGUUACUACUAAUAUAUUGACGCUGAUGGACGAAAGCGUGGGGAGCGAACAGGAUUAGAUACCCUGGUAGUCCACGCCGUAAACGAUGGAUACUAGCUGUUCGGAGCAAUCUGAGUGGCUAAGCGAAAGUGAUAAGUAUCCCACCUGGGGAGUACGUUCGCAGGAAUG